UUCUUUCCAUCUGUGAUCUCCAAUUCUUAGUGUCAGCUUCAUGCAUAGGUAGUAACAUGGUCAUAGCAGUUUCUACAUAUGACAAAACCCAGAAGAACAAGGGAUGCUAUUUGUGGACUGAAUGUUUGUGUCUCCCCAGAAUUCAUGUUGAAACCCUAUUCCCCAGUGUGAUAGCAUUAGGAGUUGGGCCUUUGAGAGGUUAGUAGGAUUAGAUAAGGUCAUAAUGGUGGAGCCCUCAUAAAUGGGAUUAGUGCCCUUAUAAGAGUCACAAGAGAGCUUAUUUCCCUUCUCUGCUCUCCACCAUGUGAGGAUAAAAUGAGAAGUCAGCAGUCUGGAACCCGGAAGAGAAACCUCAUCAGAAACUGACCAUGCUGGCACCCUAAAACUGGGACUUCCAGCCUCCAGAAUUAGUCUCGCUCUGUCACCCAGACUGGAGUACAAGGAUGCGAUCUCGGCCCACUGCAACCUCCACCUCCCAGGUUCAAGCGAUUCUCCCACCUCAGCCUCCUGAGUAGCUGGGAUUACAGACAUGGUAUCUUGGAUAACACCUGACGAUAAUAACAAAGGAACUGUAAUUCUGCAGCCUUGGCUUGACUUUUUUUAUGCCUUAGGGAAUGAAUAAGUACGUAAAUGAGAAAUGAAUCAUGAUAGUCACUUGUCAAUCCAAAAAUAUGUGAGCAAGAGCCAUGUGAAAAUAAUAAAAGCAAGAUAUUUUCUGGCAAAUUUAUCUUGGGGUUAAUGCUG
rnacentral:lncRNA from 1 species